CCUCUUGAAAGCCCUAAUCAAGAACUCUUUUUGGUAUGUUCUUUGGCCUCCCAAAAUCACAACAAAUCUUCAAAAGCCCUAAUGGACAAUAGUUCAAUCCUAAAUGAUUUCCCCCAAGCUUGAUCCGGCUUCCAAUUUCAACUCCCCAUGAUUGAUUUUUCUUCUGUGAAUUUUGUUUCAUUUUCACCAAAUAUUUCCCUCCCUACCAAUCCCGCUUCCGAUUUCAAUCCUAAAUGAUUUCCUCUUAAAAGCCCUAAUCAGGAACUUUUUUAGGUAUCUUCUUUGGCCUCCCAAAAUCACAAAAAAUCUUCAAAAGCCCUAAUUAGAUCUCUUCAACAGAGCAUUUGAUUCCGAACUGCUCUCCUAAUCAAAUCUAUGCUCGCCCAAGAACAACAGCCAACCGAAUAGUACUAGUAACUCUCCUGACUUGAUCUAUUCAUGUUCACACGAUUCUGAUUUUGUUCUUACACAUCUCUCCAUAAAUUUUAGGCAGUGUUUUCAGCCAAAACCGGGACCUUGGCCAGUUUGAUUCUUGCUAUCGGAGCAGAUAGAUGAGAACCGGAGGUCGGACUAGAAACCGGUCGGUUGGACCAAAAAACCAGGAGGUUGGAUCGAAUUUUUAAUCAGUCGGUCUCCCUACCUCGAUUCCCUCACACGGUUCUAGCAUCCUCUCAGGAUUUGGUUAUGGCGGAAGGUUAUCGCUACACCCUUGUUGCUCAGUUAGAGUAUUCUCAUGAACCAUAUGUGGAUUCAUAACAUGGAUUUCUUUAGCAAGACGACGUCGUUGCCUCAUCACCCAACAACCCUCCUUCGCCGCCUCGUUUCCUUGAAAUUAUUUUUUCUCGUCUCAAGUGGAUCUAGUUAUUGCUAUAGCUAUAACUUGCUUUUCUUUGUUGCAGAGUAUUCUUGUGGACCCUCUAAAAUUCUAAGCUUGUCAAUCAUCUUAAGAGUAUAAUCAAGUUUAGAGGUGGUCCGAUAUUAGUUGCUGAGUACAUAGAGGAAGUGCUGAUAAAUCCCAAGGCUGGUUUAUAACCUCUCUAAAGUAAGCCAAAUGUUUGGAGAGACAAGCCAAACUGGGUCAAUCUGACGAUCUAGCGAAGGGCCGAAAUGAAAGCUGGGAGAGUUUUUCAUAGAACGAAAAAGGUUAUCUUGUUACAAGUGAGACAAAAGUGUUGUUUCUAGGAGUGAUGUAGGUUAUGUUACACUUGCUGCAUCAUUUGUAAAAAGCUUUUGAUUAAAAGUUUAUGUAUUUAAUAUGUAUAUCGAAAAGUUAUGUAUGGAUUUUAGUUUAUUAUUGUUAAUAUUAUUAAUUUGGUUUUUAUGUUCAA